rnacentral:rRNA from 1 species
UACGGAGGGUGCAAGCGUUAUCCGGAUUCACUGGGUUUAAAGGGUGCGUAGGUGGGCAGGUAAGUCCGUGGUGAAAUCUCUGAGCUUAACUCAGAAACUGCCAUGGAUACUAUUUGUCUUGAAUAUUGUGGAGGUAAGCGGAAUAUGUCAUGUAGCGGUGAAAUGCUUAGAUAUGACAUAGAACACCAAUUGCGUAGGCAGCUUACUACACGAUCAUUGACGCUGAGGCACGAAAGCGUGGGGAGCAAACAGG